rnacentral:rRNA from 1 species
UACGUAGGGUGCGAGCGUUAAUCGGAAUUACUGGGCGUAAAGAGUGCGUAGGCGGUUCUUGAAGUCCGCUGUGAAAGCCCCGGGCUUAACCUGGGAAUGGCAGUGGAAACUGGGGGACUUGAAUUGAGCAGAGGGGGGUGGAAUGCCGCGUGUAGCAGUGAAAUGCGUAGAGAUGCGGCGGAACACCGAUGGCGAAGGCAGCCCCCUGGGCUUAAAUUGACGCUGAGGCACGAAAGCGUGGGGAGCAAACAGG